rnacentral:rRNA from 1 species
UCGAGAAUUUUUGACAAUGGGGGAAACCCUGAUCGAGCGACGCCGCGUGGAGGAUGAAGGUCUUCGGGUUGUAAACUCCUGUCAUUUGGGAACAAGGCGUAUUUAUUAACUGUAAGUGCGUUGAUAGUACCAGAAGAGGAAGAGACGGCUAACUCUGUGCCAGCAGCCGCGGUAAUACAGAGGUCUCAAGCGUUGUUCGGAUUCAUUGGGCGUAAAGGGUGUGUAGGUGGCGCGCUAAGUCGGGUGUGAAAUUUCGGAGCUUAACUCCGAAACUGCAUUCGAUACUGGCGUGCUUGAGGACUGGAGAGGAGACUGGAAUUUACGGUGUAGCAGUGAAAUGCGUAGAUAUCGUAAGGAAGACCAGUGGCGAAGGCGGGUCUCUGGACAGUUCCUGACACUGAGACACGAAGGCCAGGGGAGCAAACG